rnacentral:lncRNA from 1 species
CUCCUCCCAGGAGCUCAGCAGGAAGUCAGGGGCUGGCUACCCUAAGGUGCCAGGACACUUGGCACAGAGCAGGACCAGGUCCUCCACUUCCUACCAACACCAGGGUCUUCCUGGGCUCCAGGGAUGCGGCACUGCUGUCACCAGGAUAUAGUCAGCCCCAAAGCUGCUGGCACCACCUGAACUGUGGCCCGCAGCAUAGUGAGCCCUGUCUUCAGGUUCAGGAGACUCUUACCACCUUGAGCUGUCCAGUCUCAGAGGCUGUAUUUUUCAUCCUGCCCCUGAAGCGUCCAGAAUGCGUCCCCUCCCUUCCUGGCUGACAGCUGAGUGGGAGGAAGCUUCUCACUCCCUUUGCUGACCAGUGGGACACCCAUGGACUCCAGGGAGCCCCUCAGCUGGAAGCUGGCCUGGAGGCUCGCUCUCAUUUCCCAAGGGAGGGACACAUGAGGAAACCAGCAGUGUAGCCAGAGAAGCCUGUGGCAGGUCCAGCUUGAGGCUCCCCUCCACCACCCCGACCACCGCCCCUCACCCAGCCUCCAGCCUCCGACUGGAGCAGCCCGACGACAGGGACGUGCCUCACUGGCUGGGUGCCCCAGCGCCAGACCAGGCAGGACAUUGGAUGGCCGAGAUUAACUCAGAAGCCUCCAACUCACCCUUCUUUUACCACCAGGGAAGCUGAGGCUGGAAUGGCUGUCACUCAAGGUCUCCCUCAGCGAGUCUGCUUCCACAGGUGCUGUGACUCCUGCCUCGGAAGCAGGAGCUUUCCCUCAGUCUGUGUUCCCUCAAUAAACCUCUAUCGUCUUAGCAUCUGCUUCUGGGAGAACCUGAACCGACACAGAGGGUGACAUGGGCUCUCAGAGGGGCAUCUGGCUGGGGUAUUCACAGGGCAGUCGGGGAAGCUGUCUUUCCAGGGAGCCCUAAGCUGAGGUGUUGACGUUGAUGGCGCCCACUCAGUCCUAAAACCCCUAACCAUCACCAGGCUGAAAUCCGGCCCCUCCUGGGGCACUGAAGACUGAGGCCGAGAAGAAAUCCCGUCUGCUCUGCUGCUCCAACCCAGCUCUCCAGCCUCUUCCAAAAGAGAGGUGUAAAGGGGCCUCGAGAAUAAGAUCUGAGCAUCGGGACUGGUAUGUGGGGAGCUGAUGGGAGUCAGGAGGAGCUGAUGGUCUCUCAGCCCUGCUUGGGGUGGGGGCGGGGUAAGCUGGCACUUCAGGUGCAAUGGUGUCCUACAGUGACAGCACCAGCUGUUCAAAGAUUUCCCCGCACCUUCACAUCUGUUCCCUCUGAAAGCCUUCUGGACUGAGGUCUCGGAACUCCCUGUGCCAUAUUUUUAUUAUGCAGAUGAAUAUUCAUAGCUCUUUUUCCUUGUCUCAGAUCUCAAGCUUCUGAAUCAAAGGGCCCAAGCCUAUGGAACAAUCAUUCGGACAGAAGAGGCUGAAGGCAGGAUUUAAACCCAAGUCACUAAAGUGGCACAAACUGGCAAAAUCUUUGACCCAAUAAGUUCACUUUUAGGAAUUUAUCCUACAGACACACAUACACACACAUAUGAUUAAUAUAGCAAUAUUUGUAACAGAAAAAUAUCGGAAAUCUAAACAUCUCUCAAUAGGAAGCUGCUUUAGACACUACGGUAUAGCCCACGUGCAAUCCUAUGUAGCCUUAAAAAAGAAAAAAAUAAACUUCAUUAAAUGAUACAUAAAAAGAUAUAAUGUUAAAAGAAAAAAGCAAGGUACAGAAGAGCGUAUGCAAUAUGCUACUAUUUCUGUAAAAAUGGGGACUACAUAUUUUCUUGUAUGUGUGUAAAACAUCUCUAG